CUCGCGGCAGAAGUUGUGGCCGCAGUCGGUCAUCACAGGGUCGGUGAAGUAGUCAAGGCAGAUGGCGCAGGUGGCCUCCUCCUGGAGGUCCUCACGCAGAACGUGCAAUGUCACAGCCUGUUCCAGAACAGAACAGAAUGAUAUGGACCCGCCCAACCCCCCACCAUGGUCUUCCAUCAUGGUAUCCAGCCUAUCCUGCCAAAGACACAUCAUCUGCACGGUUUCCCCAGAUGUAGCCAGUUACCCAGCUUCCUCCUCCUCCAGGCUAUAUGAGCCCUUGCAGAGUCCUAAAAUGAGUAGAAGGAAGAAUUUUCCUCUCUCUUUCCCUCUCUUUCUGCCCCUCCCAU